GACCGGAGCCGCGAGCGCCACCAGGGCAGCAGCCGCCGCAGCCGCCGCCGCUGGGCUGAGAAGCUGGAGACGCGGGCGGACGAGGUGGCGGCGGCGGCGGAGCGGGAGCGGGGACCGGGGACCGGGCGCAGGCAGAGCGCGACGGCGCGGGUGUAUUCCAGAGAAUAGGUCUUCAAACAUCUUUGCUGCAUUGACGCUGAGCUGUCAGGGGACUGAGGCUUAUGAGGAGGUAUUGUCACACAAAACAGUGCCUAGUGAAGACCACAAGAAAGAGGGGAAAGGAUCGGAAAAAGAAGCUAAAAUACCAUAGAAAACCAUGAGAUCUAUUCGAUCUUUUGCCAAUGAUGAUCGCCAUGUUAUGGUGAAACAUUCAACAAUCUAUCCAUCUCCAGAGGAACUUGAAGCUGUUCAGAAUAUGGUGUCCACUGUUGAAUGCGCUCUUAAACAUGUCUCAGAUUGGUUGGAUGAAACAAAUAAAGGCACAAAAACAGAGGGUGAGACAGAAGGGAAGAAAGAUGAGGCUGGAGAAAGCUAUUCCAAGGAUCAAGGUGGUCGGACAUUGUGUGGUGUAAUGAGGAUUGGCCUGGUUGCAAAAGGCUUGCUGAUUAAAGAUGAUAUGGACUUGGAACUGGUUUUAAUGUGCAAAGACAAACCCACAGAGACCCUGUUAAAUACAGUCAAAGAUAACCUUCCUAUUCAGAUUCAGAAACUCACAGAAGAGAAAUAUCAAGUGGAACAGUGUGUAAAUGAGGCAUCUAUUAUAAUUCGGAAUACAAAAGAGCCCACGCUAACUUUGAAGGUGAUACUUACUUCCCCUCUAAUUAGAGACGAAUUGGAGAAGAAGGAUGGAGAAAAUGUUUCGAUGAAAGAUCCUCCGGACUUAUUGGACAGGCAGAAAUGCCUAAAUGCCUUGGCGUCUCUUCGACAUGCCAAAUGGUUUCAGGCAAGGGCAAAUGGAUUAAAAUCAUGUGUAAUUGUCCUCCGCAUUCUGCGAGAUUUGUGCAACAGAGUCCCCACAUGGGCACCAUUAAAAGGAUGGCCACUAGAACUUAUAUGUGAAAAGUCUAUAGGUACUUGUAAUAGACCUUUGGGCGCUGGGGAGGCCUUGAGAAGAGUAAUGGAGUGUUUGGCGUCUGGAAUACUACUUCCUGGGGGUCCUGGUCUUCACGAUCCUUGUGAGCGAGACCCAACAGAUGCUCUGAGCUAUAUGACCAUCCAGCAAAAAGAAGAUAUUACCCACAGUGCACAGCAUGCACUCAGACUGUCAGCUUUUGGCCAGAUUUAUAAAGUGCUGGAGAUGGACCCCCUUCCGUCUAGUAAGCCUUUUCAGAAGUAUUCCUGGUCAGUUUCUGAUAAAGAAGGUGCUGGGUCUUCAGCUUUAAAGAGGCCAUUUGAAGAUGGAUUAGGGGAUGAUAAAGACCCCAAUAAGAAGAUGAAACGAAACUUAAGGAAAAUCCUGGAUAGUAAGGCAAUAGACCUUAUGAAUGCACUCAUGAGGCUAAAUCAGAUCAGGCCCGGGCUUCAGUAUAAGCUCUUAUCUCAGUCUGGCCCUGUCCAUGCCCCGGUCUUCACAAUGUCUGUAGAUGUGGAUGGCACAACAUAUGAAGCCUCAGGACCAUCCAAGAAAACAGCAAAACUUCAUGUAGCAGUGAAGGUAUUGCAAGCAAUGGGAUACCCAACAGGCUUUGAUGCAGAUAUUGAAUGUAUGAGUUCCGAUGAGAAAUCAGAUAAUGAAAGCAAAAAUGAAACAGUGUCUUCAAACUCAAGCAAUAAUACUGGAAAUUCUACAACUGAAACCUCCAGUACCUUAGAGGUAAGAACUCAGGGCCCUAUCCUCACAGCAAGUGGCAAAAAUCCUGUAAUGGAGCUCAAUGAAAAAAGAAGAGGUCUCAAGUAUGAACUCAUCUCGGAGACUGGGGGAAGCCAUGACAAGCGCUUUGUAAUGGAGGUAGAAGUAGAUGGACAGAAAUUCAGAGGUGCAGGUCCAAAUAAGAAAGUGGCAAAGGCAAGUGCAGCUUUAGCUGCCCUGGAGAAGCUGUUUUCUGGACCUAAUGCAGCAAAUAAUAAGAAAAAGAAGAUUAUCCCUCAGGCGAAGGGUGUUGUGAAUACAGCUGUGUCUGCAGCAGUCCAGGCUGUUCGGGGCAGAGGAAGAGGAACUCUAACAAGGGGAGCUUUUGUUGGGGCGACAGCUGCUCCUGGCUACAUAGCUCCAGGGUAUGGAACACCAUAUGGUUACAGCACAGCUGCCCCAGCCUAUGGUUAAUACUUUUAAGCAGUUUUCAGCACGUUUAUCUCACUUUAUUCUCGUUCUCCUCGGACCUUCGUAGCCAUAUCACUUGUAUAAAAUAGGCUGAGAUAUAGUGACUGUAAGCUGUGAUCUCAGUAUACAAAGGUGCAUGCUGUCUGCUGGCCUGAGAUAAGUGAUGGAGAUGUCUUAAAAAAUUAAAGCCAGACUCCGAAGGCAGGCCAAUGAGGCUUUGGCUCAUUUGGUACAAGGAAUAGAGGCAUGAAUGGGCAGCAGCCCAGGUAUGGGGUGUAAGUGCAGGGAGGUGUCCCCGGGCAAAUACUUGGCAGAGAUGGGCAAGUGGCAGAUUGCAGAGGCCAGUUCUCACUGCCAGGAGUUUGCCUCAGAGCAGGCUUCAGGGCAGGAUCCCCUCUUGGAGUUUGCCAUCUUCCCUCUAAGUAUGGCCCAUGCAUAUUGAGCCCUGCUUAGAUGGCUUUGGGGUCUCUAAAUUGUGGCAUGCAAGUCACUCUGCUGAAUGUGUUUGAUUCUCCCACUGUUGCAGACCACUUCCCAGCUCCUUUGCUGAUUAAUGCCAGCUGGGUCUCUGCUUAGGGGUUGGAACGUGUGGGGAUGGAUACAGAAUGCUCUUCAGGGAAAGAUAGUCCUCACCCACCCAAGUCAUCAUCUUCCUUGGCAGCUACCGUUUUUUCUGAGCACCCUGCCAUGAUUCUGGAGGGGAGCAGGAAGAAGGAACCUUCUUUGAAACUGGUUGUCAAGUUCUACAGCACUGAUAUGUGUGAGGGAGAAUGAGCGCCCAGCCUUUGUGGAACAUAACAUUCUGUGAAGCCCUUUCCCAUUCAUUAUUUCAUUUCCUGCUCUAUUGGUGGAACCUUGGAGGAAUAGCAGUGAAUGGAUGAUUGUUCCCACUCUGCCCUGCAGACAGGGAAAUUGAAGCCCAGAGAUCGCUGCAAACCACCCCACUUGUUUGUGGCAAAACACUGUAGCUCCUAACCACAUAGAAGAAAUAACAUUUCUUAUACUGUUUUUACAGUUAACAGAAGCCCUUUCUUAGGGAUCAGUUUUGAACGCCACCAAAAUUGUGGGAUCUAGGAUGAGGAAAUGGAGGUGUAAAGUGAUUUGCCACAAAUUAGAUAGCUGUAAAGUGGCAGAGCCCACAUAUUCUGACAGCACGGUGCCCAAUACUUGUGGUUUGUAGUACUAGUCUAGACUGAUGUCUGUCCUGUUUUCCAAGACCAUUUGGCAACAGUGUCAUCUCCUCUCUCUGAUGCAUUCUACUCACCUUUCUUCUAAGCUUCUGGCCUAUAUCCUGUGUGGCUUGAAAUAAAACAAGCAAAAACCAGCCCACCUCUCCCUGACCCUUCCCUGGUCUCCCCCAAAUCCAGACUUUCCAGGCUCAUUCUUUCUCUGGUUCCUUUGGAAGAACUGUUAGUUUGUUCCUGGGCAAGGUGACCAACCAGUCGCCCCUGGGCUGGUCAGCCUGUUCUUUUGUCAGCUGCAUAACUGGGUCUAUUUCCACAGACCACCUUUUUGUACCUUAACUGAACACUACGGUAAAGCGCAAAUUCAAUAACUGCCAUUUGGUGAGCUACUCGGGUUGGAAGGAGGGGAGGGCACGGGCAGCUAGAAAUGUGCUUUUUAUGUUCAGCCUCAUCCGCAUUUUAGUUGUUGCCUGUCAUCCAUUCUUGGCUAGACCUUCAACGUGUGCUCUAUCCAAAGGGGUCCCCAUCACAGUAACACACCUUCCAGAGCUUUAAGUGGCAGAAUCUCCUUUCUGAUGCUAGGAUCUCCUUGAAUCCUUCCCUCAUAUAGAUGGUCUCAGAAGUUGGUCAGCUUUCUAAAAUCUCUUACGCUCUUGGAGGCUGCAGUAUACGAUAGGCAUCACCUGGGAGGUAAAAAACUUGUGGAAGUUACACCUGAGGAACUCAGGAAAGCUGAAGGCACCUUUAAAUGAGAUUAAACGGUGAGGAUGUUUGAGGCUAGUGAAGGGAGACCUGGGGAGAACAUGGAUACUUCCAUCAGCUCUUUUAUGAGAUUAUAUUUACUUAUUGUAUGUGGUUCCAGAGGGUAAUGACACAUAGGGGAAGCCAGUUAGGCAGUUUGAGCUAAAGUCUGCCUCCUAUGAUGAUAGAGCUGCCUUGGGAGCACAGGUGAUGGCAGAAGUGAGCUCCGUGUUUCCAGGCAAGAAGCCUGGCUUCUUUCCAAGCAAGAAGCCAGUUGUUUGGACAGCGAAGAGGAAAUUCCUCCAUGAGAUGUCAGUUUGGACUGAACUCUGAUGUGAUUGCUGACAUUACCAAGACCACUUCUUGCUUCUUGGGCACAUGGAUUUAUUGAGAAAAUAGUCACUGUCACCUGCUGCUUUUUUACCAGGCUCUGUGUUGGGGGAGAAGGAGAAGUCGGAGAAACUGCCAAGAUUUUCAGCUUAGACAACUGAGUAGAAAGUGAAACCACUGACCCAGAUGGAGUGUACAGGAAGGGGGAGAAAGAUGCCCAGGGGAUUUGGACAAAGUAAGAGUCAUUUUCUGUGGUGAGAGAAACGCUCUAGCAGGUCUGAUUGGGAUGUUACUUACUGGCCCUGGGAUGGGCCAUAGCAGGCCCAGUCCGAGGUCUCCCACCCAGUCAAGGAAAGGAGCCAGGCCUCUGAAGAGACUGACUGGUGGUCACAGGAAGAGACGUGCUUAGAGUUGAGUAACUUAUGAAGAGUUAUAGGGGCACCGACAGAAGUGACCCAGGCUUCUCAUGAAGCUGGACAAGGGUUUGCCUAGUAGGUGAGUGGGGAGGGGACCUUAGGAGGGGAGGCCAGCCCACUUGGGGUGUGCACAGUUUACAGCCACCUCAUGAAAGGCCCUGAAUGCUGUGCCCUUCAGUGAUUACCAUCAUCCAAUAUGGUGAGAGAAUUCUGGAGGGAUGACUUGGACAGUUGGAUGGCCAACGACCAGAGUCAGGAGGGCUGAUGAGGAAGAGGCUGUUGCAAAUGCCCAGGUAAGGGAGGGACAGGAAUGGAGUCUCCUCAUAGGCCAGGCUCCUAUGCCAGACUGAGGGUAGGGAGCUGACGGCACCCAUCCCUAGGCCAGGGAACAGUGGUGCCCACCAGGGGGAGGGGAUCUGUCAGAGCACUCCUCCCAGACCGCUGUGCAGUAGGGUGAUGUAGAGAACAGGGGUGCCUCUGACCAAGCUGGGCCAGGUGGAGGAAGGGAGGAAGAUGCCGACCAGGUGCAGAGGGGAGUUAGAACGUCGUGAGGGCUGUCUGGGCUUUGGUGGGCCCAGCUCUCUUGUGCUGGUGCUCUCUGGGAAGACUCUCCAUUGGUAAUGGGUGGAGAAGUUUGCGGCCUGUCAGUCAGCAUCUUGACCAUGAAGUUCUGCUUGGCUGGGCUCUGCAGGGAGGAGAGUAGCUGGUGCCGGGUGUUCGUUUAUAUGGAGGCCUUCUGCUUUCCAGAACGAUCAUCUUUUUUUAAACCUGGGCAAGAGCAAAAACUCAUUGGAUUCAGCAUUUGUGGAACUAGUUAGCUAGUGGGACGGUACAAACUUUGUUGUUUUUUUUGUUUGUUUGUUUUGAGAAGAGUCUCACUCUGUCAACGUGGCUAGAGUGCAGUGGUAUGAUCAUAGCUCCCACAGGUGUGUAAAUUCUUAUCUCCGAGAAGGAGCGCUCCUUGCAUUUUCUAGAUGAGCUUCUGGGUUUAUGGAAGGGAAAGUAACAAACUCGAGCCUGGCCAAGUGGAGUGGGCCCUGGGUUUGGUAAAGAAAGUGCAGUCUGUCCCCGGCUGUGAUGCCAGAUGUGGCCUUUCCUCUGGCAGCGAGUCCUGUGCUGAGGCUCCAGUCUCACAGGACAGUGCCAGUCUGUCGGGCACCACAGUCACAUACAGGCACAGACUCGUUGCCAUCUGACUUGUUCUUCUGCUUAGGGAAACAGAUGAUGGUCAGAAAGUCUUUUUGACUCCAACCUAAAUGAUUCUGUGGCUCCUAAGAGUCAGGGUUUUUGUUUUGUUUAUUGUUCAUGGAAAUGAAUCAAGAAUAGGAGUAAGAGUUUUAGGUAGCUAGGAAGACUGUAAGAAGUUCCUCCUUCAGCUGUAAUUUAGACAGUUGUUUUACGUUUCCAGCCCCCUUUCCCCUCCUCCGGGCAGCUUGUGCUCUCUACCCUUUUGGAAUUUUGGUUUGGUGGGUCGGUGGUAAGACACCUGUUUCCUUUAAACGUUUGUCACUUCCAAGCCUCCUUUUGUGGACAUCUUACCGACCCCUGAGGUAUGAUUUGGAAGUAGCCAGGCAAGGCCUAGUUCCAGAAAUACUUGUCACCUGAUACUAGGCCAGAAGUGCCACCAUUAGACUAUCCCUCCUCCUAGCACUGAUGGCCUCUGCAGUCAGGUGACGUUUCCUCUGGGCGCCCCCUUCUUGGGGGUGCUCAGUGCUGUUUUUCCCUUUGCUCACUUAAUAUGGCAGCUUCUCAGCGACGGGACCUGCCCUGGCUAUGUGAGAGGUGCUUACUACCCUUCACUACCUUUCCUGGAGAGGAGGCUCUUUUUUAGAAACUCUGCCAGGAAGCCGUAUCGCAGGCGUCCUCAAGCCCCGCCCAGGGCUCACUCUGCGUCUGCCAGGAAUGACGGUGGCUCUGGCUCUCCCAUCUCCAGCGGGACUUCCUUUCCAGCAUUCCAGGGCUAGGAAGGCAAAGUGAACGCUGGGCCAGGGAAACCCCCUGCUGCUGUUGCUUCCUUGGGCAGAUACCAUACACGUUAGCCUCUAGCAGUGUUCGUCCUGGUUUCCCCAGAGCGUCUUUGAACGCGGGCAGGCCUUUCACCCUGGACCCACCUUUCUGGCCUGUUGUGCUUAACCUUUGGUUUCUUUAAGUGGCUGGUUGGGCCCUGUCACUUCUUUAGAAGACAGGUCUCCUGAGGUAGCUGUGAUUAGGACAAGUGCGCUUCCAGGAACAGCGAGGCUGAUGGGCUUGGGCUGAGGCUCAGACCAAUGGCUUCCUGCCUGCGCAUCCUGGUCUAGCUGCUACGUAGCAUUCCUGGAGGAGCAGGGCCUGUGGGACUUGCUUCCCUCCGGGAAGGAGAUGGGAAGUGCAGCCAGUCUAGAGCUGAAGUCCUGUUUGACAGCUGGCUUCACUCGCACUAAGGAAUAAGGUGGCCCUGUUGAGUUUUAGCCCUUCCUGGGCCCCAGGGCUGGGGGUGCAGGCACAGAGAAGCACAGUUGUGGAUAGAAAACCUUUCCCUGCUGCACGGUAUGUACAUGACAUGGGACUCCUGGCCGUAGCUUACUGUGGUCUGGUGAUGGCCAAGUUAGUUUCUAGGAAUCUAUUUAAAAUAUCUAUCAUGUAGCUAUUUACUGUGUUUUCCUGAAUACACAAGUGUAAAUAGUAUAAUUUGCAGUGCAAAGUCCUUGGCAAUAACUUUGUUGUGUAUUAGUAUGUUAAAAAACAUUGGAAACCGUGACCACCAUGGAUUGUCCUUCCUCUGUGGGGCAAUGAUUACAUGUAGGACUCCGAACUUUAAACCUUCGGCGUGGUUGAAGCAGCAGCCUGCAUAUGUGGACUGUCACCAGUGCCUCGCCCAGAGAUGCCUGGCCUUCAUCCAAAGGGACCCUGCUGCCCCGACUUCUGCAGGCAGCACCCACUGUGGCUUCUUCGUGCCGAGUAUGUUGGACUCUGCCAUAGACUGACCCUCUUGUCUGGCUGCUGCAGUUUGUCUGUAAUGCCCUGACAUGUUGCAUUUUCCCCAUUUGGAUGAAUAAAAAUGCUUCUGUCUUAAACAGUAA